UGAACGCUGGCGGCGUGCAUAACACAUUCAAGUCGAACGGACUGAUUGGUAGCUUGCUACCGAUGAAAGUUAGUGGCGGACGGGUGAGUAACGCGUGAGCAACCUGCCUCUGUGUGUGGGAUACCGUCUGGAAACGGACGUUAAUACCGCAGUAAUCCAUAGAGAUCGCAUGUUUUUUAUGGCAAAGAUUUAUGCACAGAGAUGGGCUCGCGUCUGAUUAGGCAGUUGGUGAGGUAACGGCCCACCAAACCUACGAUCAGUAGCCGGACUGAGAGGUUGAACGGCCACAUUGGAACUGAGAAACGGUCCAGACUCCUACGGGAGGCAGCAGUGGGGAAUAUUGGGCAAUGGGCGAAAGCCUGACCCAGCGACGCCGCGUGAAGGAAGACGGUCUUCGGAUUGUAAACUUCUUUUAUGAGGGACGAUAAUGACGGUACCUCAUGAAUAAGCCACGGCUAACUACGUGCCAGCCGCCGC
rnacentral:rRNA from 1 species